rnacentral:rRNA from 1 species
CCUACGGGGGGCUGCAGUGGGGAAUAUUGGACAAUGGGCGCAAGCCUGAUCCAGCAAUGCCGCGUGUGUGAAGAAGGCCUUCGGGUUGUAAAGCACUUUUGUUCGGGAAGAGAUCCGUGAGGCUAAUAUCUUACGGGAUGACGGUACCGAAAGAAUAAGCACCGGCUAACUUCGUGCCAGCAGCCGCGGUAAUACGAAGGGUGCAAGCGUUAAUCGGAAUUACUGGGCGUAAAGCGUGCGUAGGCGGUUUGUUAAGUCAGAUGUGAAAGCCCCGGGCUCAACCUGGGAACUGCAUUUGAUACUGGCAAGCUAGAGUGUGGUAGAGGGUGGUGGAAUUCCCGGUGUAGCGGUGAAAUGCGUAGAGAUCGGGAGGAACAUCCGUGGCGAAGGCGGCCACCUGGACCAACACUGACGCUGAGGCACGAAAGCGUGGGGAGCAAACAGGAUUAGAUACCCGUGUAGUC